ACUCUGCUGGUUUUUAUUCAGUCCAUAGUUGGGUUCUGGUCUCCAGUCCCUUUGAGGUCUCCUGCUCUGUUGGGCUCUUCAAUGAAGAACCAAAAGAGACCAGAAUGCGUCUGGAAAAUCCUUCAUCAUUAGAAGAUGAGACAAAAAUGCCCUGCACUGGAUGGGUGGCCUUUGGGAUACCUCUGGCAGUUGUAUCAGUUGCAUUUGGAGUCCUGUGCUUCCUGUAUUUCAGGAAGAAAGCUAACAAGUCCAAAUCUGGAGAUGAUACAACUGGUGG